rnacentral:rRNA from 1 species
GACAGAGGGUGCAAACGUUGUUCGGAAUUACUGGGCGUAAAGCGCGUGUAGGCUGCUUCGCAAGUCGGGUGUGAAAGCCCUGGGCUCAACCUAGGAAGUGCACUCGAAACUGCGAAGCUGGAGUCCUGGAGAGGAAGGCGGAAUUCUCGGUGUAGAGGUGAAAUUCGUAGAUAUCGAGAGGAACACCGGUGGCGAAGGCGGCCUUCUGGACAGUGACUGACGCUGAGACGCGAAAGCGUGGGAGCAACAGG